rnacentral:piRNA from 1 species
UGUCAGGGUUCUAAAUCCAUGCCAUGUUGCAG